rnacentral:rRNA from 1 species
AUGAACGCUAGCGGCAGGCCUAAUACAUGCAAGUCGAGCGGAAUGAUGAAGAAGCUUGCUUCUUCUGAUUUUAGCGGCGGACGGGUGAGUAACACGUGGGCAACCUACCUUGUAGAUUGGGAUAACUCCGGGAAACCGGGGCUAAUACCGAAUAAUCCAUUUUGCUUCAUGGCGAGAUGUUGAAAGACGGUUUCGGCUGUCACUACAAGAUGGGCCCGCGGCGCAUUAGCUAGUUGGUAGGGUAAUGGCCUACCAAGGCGACGAUGCGUAGCCGACCUGAGAGGGUGAUCGGCCACACUGGGACUGAGACACGGCCCAGACUCCUACGGGAGGCAGCAGUAGGGAAUCUUCCACAAUGGACGAAAGUCUGAUGGAGCAACGCCGCGUGAGUGAAGAAGGUUUUCGGAUCGUAAAACUCUGUUGUAAGGGAAGAACACGUACGAGAGUAACUGCUCGUACCUUGACGGUACCUUAUUAGAAAGCCACGGCUAACUACGUG